GGUGGGGUGACAGAAUCCGGCUUAAUGUACCAGUCUUGAAAACUGGCGAGGUUUCACGACCUCCGUGGGUUUAAAUCCCACUCCCACUG
rnacentral:tRNA from 2 species